UUCAUAAACAUGCAGAAAGUGAGAGCACCGUAGGGUUUUAUGAACCAAUAGCUACCGCACAUUUAGUUAUUGCCAUAAAUGGAGUGAUGGACAGUAUUGGCAACAUUACAAAACAAAAUGACCACCAUGACCAAGAUUAUAAAAAAUGCCUUUCAAGCCCUAAAAUUAAGGUGUGUUUUAAAAGAGAAAGGAGGUAUGCUAAAGAGGGUUUCAGGAAGCUACUCAUACUCUCAGAUAUGACUGCAUAUCAGCAACAUAUAAUUAUUAAUUCCGCAUGAUACUGGCCUGUUGAAUCACCUGCAAGGUAAAGUUGAAGUAAAAUUGAUGGGACUGAGUAAUUCAAAGUAUCAUUCAUUGUUAGCUUACCUUGCUUCAAAGAGCAUAAGGUUUGUUGUUAAUGUUGUUGUUGUUAUUAUUAUUUUUUUAUUAUUAUUUUUCCUUUGAUUGAAAAUAGAUUGUUUUCUCAUGCAACAAAAGUCCCAUGAAUCCUAUCAAAACACUAAACUUAACCUGGAAUCCAAUAUGCUCAAAGGACCUGAUGCAGACCCUUGCAAUCUCUGAAUGUUGGCUCGGUCUCUCUGAAUUCACAUAGGCUUUGAUGAAGCUGUUACCAGGUGUGGGGAUGUAGCUCAGAGGUAGAGCACAUGUUUCGCAUAUAUGAGGCCCCGGGUUCGAUCCCCGGCAUCUCCAAAACAAUAUUUUUAACCUUUGACUUUUCUUUUUCAGGAUGUUUCUGUACAAGGUGUCCCAGACUUUAAAUUCCCGUGUUGAAAUUAUAUAUGCAUAGCUAAUUAUUGGAUGAAAUUGCUCAUUUGUCACUGUGACAGCAAUGUUCAUCUUUGUGACGGCAUUUCCACAGACACAGCCAUGGUCGGGUGAGUACAAUAUGGUCAUGCUUCCAAGGAUAUGUUUUGUUCACAGAUCGAACAAAAAAGGAAAGCUUUGCUUUCGUAGAGGGACAGUUUCUCAGAUGAUGGGUAUGCUUUCUUGGGUGAAAACAAGGGUGAAGAGUUCUUGCUCUGAGAAAAAAAGGGAGGGCUGGGCGGAGCCAUUCCUGGUUACUACCAGGGAGGCAGCAUUGCGGUUGUCAUAGAAACCGGGGCCAUUAUGGCGACCGCUUUCAAAAGGCGACCGCCAACGUCCUGGAAAGGAGCAUUCAGUUCUUGGUGUUUGGACUGAGUUGAGCUUAUGGAUUCCCGGAGGGCAUUGUCUUUAUUUAUCAACCAUUACUUGGAAGAGCAUACAUCUGACACUUGAUGGACGUCCUAACAACAAGCUUCUCAACUUAUGAAAAGAGGCAAAGAAGGUCUCACCCAAGCCUCAUUCAAGAGAUUCACUGGGAGGAAAGAAUCCAGGAGGUGGCUGCCCCUGCAAGAGUGGGAAAGGCAGCUCCCAACUGAAAAGGAUCAGGGUGUGCUGCUUUGGACAGAAACAGGUGUUGUUUCCCCUAGAAACAGGUAUGCAGUCCAUGGUGGGCCACCAAGUGAGUGCUGAGAACCCAGCCCAGGUCUUCUGUAAGAGCAGCAAGUCGUCUUAACCAUGGGGCCAUCUCUGAAGUCCAAGUCAUCAAAUAUUAAAUGUAAUUACUAUUUUUCUACUUUGCCCCAUAAUGACAAUAGAUAUCUUCUUAUACUCAGGUAGGUACAAGUUUCAUUAUUAUUUACCAAUCCAGAAGGUUUAAUUUCUAUGUUAGUUAGGUUUUCAGUCCCAACCACUGCCCUACCCUGUCUUCAGGAAAGUACAGCAAUCUGCCAUUACCAGCCAAUUUGUAUAUGCUGGAAUGUAUUAGAAUAGAACCAGAGUUUAGAGACAUCUGGCCUUCAUUCAUCUUGUAUAUAUGUUUAAGUUUAUCUCUUUUGUUGUCCAUGAUAAUUGUUCAUUCUUAAUAUUAAAUGGUGUAGCAAUGUAUAGCUACACUGAAAAUGUUAUAAUUUAUUUUUAUUUUAUGUGUAUAUAUGUUUGUCUUCAGAUAGGUAUAAAGAGCACAUGCAUGCCUGGUGCCCAUGGAAGCCAGGAGAGGGCAUUGGAUCCCAUGGCACUGGAGUUACAGUUGAAAACUGCUGUGCUGGUUUUGGGAUAUAAGUCUUUGCCUGUUGCCUGUUGCUGAGGUUGUUUUCAAUUUCAGUAUCUUGUAUAUAAAGGUGCUGUGAACUGAAAUAAAUAAGUCUUUAAAAAAAUAUGUCCUCUUUCUCCAGGUUAUAUGUUUGGGGAUGUGAUGGCCAUAUGACAAUUAACAUAUGAAGAAAUUGGGAAAUACUUUUCCAAGUCUCUCUACUGUUCUCCAUGGCCACCAGCAGUGGGUAUGGGAGAGUUUCAUCCUCCACAAACCUGCCAGGUCAUUGUAUUACAAGUCUUUAUUUCUGAGUAUUUUAUGGAUGUGUCGAGAGUCCCCUCAGGGUCACCUGUCUCUCUUCCCUAAGUGUUAAGGAUGUUGAUGCUGUAUGUUUCUUUAGUGGAGCAUCUACUCACCCUUCUGGCUAACUUUUAUUUCCUGAAUUAUCUAUUUUCUUAGUGGCUCUUUUUUAGGCUUUCUGUAUUCUGGAAAAAAUAAGGCUGUCACAUGAUACACAAGUUCCCACAUUCAUUUUCCCAGAACAGGGAGAAAACUGUGAACUCUCCAUGCAGAACCAGCUCCUGGAGAAGAACCAAGUGUGGUGUGGUCUUGUCAGCCUGUUACCUAGCAAGAGUGACAAGAUCAUGUGGGACUCACCAGAUGAGUCAUUUCCUUUUCUCUUCCCAUCCGUGUGACCAGCAGUGGAUCGGUGAUGGCUUAUAAGAACACAUCCCUGUUGAGCAGGUAGUAGCAAUAGCAGCACACUGUGGAACAAUGACAUUAAUAGACUCCCCAGAUGACUGUACCCUGCAUGGGUUCCUUUAAAUGACCAGGACAGA